rnacentral:misc_RNA from 1 species
GAUGAAGAACGUAGCGAAAUGCGAUAAGUAAUGUGAAUUGCAGAAUUCAGUGAAUCAUCGAAUCUUUGAACGCACAUUGCGCCCGCCAGUAUUCUGGCGGGCAUGCCUGUUCGAGCGUCAUUUCAACCAUCAAGCCCGGCUUGUGUUGGGGCCCUGCGGCUGUCCGCAGGCCCUUAAAACCAGUGGCGGGCUCGCUGUCACUCCGAGCGCAGUAAUACAUCUCGCUUUGGCCGUGCAGCGGGUACCGGCCGUUAAACACCCCCCUUUUUAUCAAGGUUGACCUCGGAUCAGGUAGGAAUACCCGCUGAACUUAAGCAUAUCAAUAAGCGGAGGA